UCCCGCUUCCCUCAUCCGGAAUUGUAAUCAUGUCCAUUUCCCGCACCGUUUUUUUGUUGUUGUAAAUAUUAUAAAAAGAUAUCAACAUUUGUUAAAUCACAGUCUAACCUGUAUAUAACGAUUUUAAACAUAAAAGCACCCCACCACACUGUGUAAAUAUCUGUGAGAAUAUUUGUUUCAGCAUGAAACCUGGAGUGCUCCGAUAAAAAGUUAUAACAGCGGGUAUUUCCGUGAAGAACAAAAAAAUGGUUUCUUUCCCCCUUACUUAUAUUCCCUAUCAAAAAAUGUUCGUUGUUAGAAUAAAGUACAAAG
rnacentral:lncRNA from 1 species